rnacentral:rRNA from 1 species
GAUUAACGCUGGCGGCGUGCAUAACACAUGCAAGUCGAACGAUGAAACUUAGUAGACUUCUUCGGAAAGACACUAAGCGGCUUAGUGGCGAACGGGUGAGUAACGCGUGAGUAACCUGCCUUACACAAGGGGAUAGCCUUUGGAAACGAAGAAUAAUACCCUAUAAAACCAUAAAAGCACAUGCUAGAAUGGUCAAAGUGAUAGCGGUGUAAGGUGGACUUGCGUCUGAUUAGCUAGUUGGUGAGAUAAAAGCUCACCAAGGCAACGAUCAGUAGCCGGCUUGAGAGAGUGUACGGCCACAUUGGGACUGAGACACGGCCCAGACUCCUACGGGAGGCAGCAGUGGGGAAUUUUGCACAAUGGGGGAAACCCUGAUGCAGCGACGCCGCGUGAUUUAGAAGGCCUUCGGGUUGUAAAAAUCUUUUGUAUAGGAAGAAAAUGACAGUACUAUACGAAUAAGGUCCGGCUAAUUACGUG